CAAAGUGUAGCUUAAAGAAAGCAUCUCCCUUACACCGAGAAGACACCCGUGCAAACCGGGUCACAUUGA
rnacentral:tRNA from 1 species